CUAAGGAAACAAAUGUGCAACUAAGUUCACAGAGCAGAAGCUGAACUUACUGGAAGCUCAUUGCUGCACUGGAGAACACAAAACAGGUAAAACUCGCCUUGUGGACACAGGCUAAUCAAUGGAGGAUCACAUGACCUUAUUAGACAAGAGGAGUACCGGAAGAAGUUCAGUUACCACAGCAACAGACUCCAUGGAAUCUGACCCGAACCUGUGUGACAGAGUGAAAAUCCUGGAGCAGAAAGCAGGCUCAGCCGUCCAACCUGAGAGCUACCUGAGGAACAGGAUCAGACUGUUAGAAAGAUCAGAGAGGAGCCUACUGCUACAGCUCUGUCAGCUAGCCUCAGCCUCCCACCUCCCCAGCAUGCAACACACCCAGAGGCUGGACCAGAGACUCCACAUGCUCAGGGAGGAGGUCAGGACCAUGACUCGGGAGAAGGAGCAAGUGGACCAAGUUUGGAGGGAGCGACUGCAGCGCUGUCAGAGGCAGCUGAAGACCAAAGAGGAGGAGAUGAGUCGCCAGUCUCAGUACUUCGAGAACUUUAAAGCCCAACUUCAGCACAAACUCAGCCUGGCUCACAACAGAGAGCAGGGCCUACAGAGCCGGAUCAGCACUUUAGAAAAGCAGCUGCUUGACCUGACUGUGAGUGCAGCCACUGGCACGGCAGCGAUCAGUGCAGUCAGAAUUACUGCUGGGACCUCAACGCACUGGGAAGAAAAAGAGAGGCUAACUUUCAUGAGGGGACAGGGUGAAGGAGAAGAGGAGAAAAAGGAAGAGAUAAAGAAGCAAUGGUGGCCAAGUGUGAGAAUUGAAAGAGAAGGAGGACGAGCGGGUGAUAAGGGAAAGACAGAGAAAGAGACAGAAGGAGGAAGAAACAAGGACACAAGACAGAAUUCAAAUGAGGCCAGGCUGCAAGGCUUCAUCCUGAGCCUCCAGGAGGAUCUUAGGGUGCUGCUAGAGAGAGAGGAGGAUGGCAUGACAGAGCGGAGGCAACUGACGGAGCAGCUCCAAGAGGCCCAGGAGAACAGCCACUUCCUGAGCUGCAAAGUGGAGGACAUGAAGGCAGAGGUGCAUCAACUGAAAUUGUCUGAACACUCCUUGAUGGAGGAGGUUGAACAGCUGAGACAGAAGAACCACCGACUCCAGCAGAUCCUCAGGGAAGCUGCAAACCAAACAACCAGUCAGUCAUCUGCAAUCCCUGAGUCCACAUGCCUGAGCCCUGGGCCCAGCUCCCCCAGCUGCAGCAUCUCUAAAAAGGUCCAGCCAAAAUCUGAUGAUGAAAUAGACCAGUCCCACUCACCUGCAGUUCCACCUGGACACCACCAGGCUACAGCAGAGGCCACUCAGAACAACACAGAGAAUCACUCUUCUUCUGCCAAAUCAGAUCCUCUGAAACUCUCUGUCAACCAAGGCUCCAAACCUAACCCCAGCUUCCAGUCACUUACCUUGACUACAGAGACAACAGAUGAGCUUACACUGGGGACCUGGUUCUCCAGAGGAUUCAUAAACUUGCAGAAUAGCCCCAGUGAGGAAUCUGAUGCCUUGAGGGAAGCGUACCGGAGCUUGGGGUUACAGGAAGAUCUAGAGGCCCUUCAUGAGCAAGGUGAGGCCGCCAUGCAGCACAUACAGGAGCAGCUGCAGAUGAUGGCUCAGGAGAAUUCUCAACUGAAACUACAACUCAGGAAACAGGCAGAAGAAGAAGAAGCAGAGGCACAGCAAGGGUUGUCAAGAGAAAAGAUUAACUCAUCGUCCACUUGUGAUGGAGCCGACCAUCUCCAGUCCUCUUCUAUCCAAGAUGAGACCAUUCUUGCCCUCGCCCAGAAUGAUCUUGUCCAGGCUCUGAAUCAGGAGAACCGGGCCUUGGCAGACCGGAUCCAGGAGCUGCUGGCUCACAUUGAGCUCAGAGAGGAGGAGAUGAAGACUGAGGAAUCGGAGCUGAAGAAUCACGUCUCUAGGUUAGAAGAGGAUAGAGCCAGGCUGGAGCAGGAGAACCAGGAACAAGGGUGUCUGAUCACAGAGCUCACCAGGAAGACUGAAGAUGAUCUUAAUACCAUCAUGGAGCUGCAGCAACAGUUAGAAAAGAGUGGAGAGCAGUGCAACCUAGAAGAAUGCAUUGACAGUUUGGUGGAAAAUGUGCUAAAAGGAGCAGAACCACAGUUAAUAUCUAGCCAACAAACAGAUGAUUUGACCACAGGUUCAGCACCUGGAUUCCAGCAUAAGAAUCACUAUGAUCCAUUGCAGAACAGCCCACAAAACACUCUUCAUGUUAGCUCAUCGGCUGAUCAAGUGGACCAGCUGACCAAGUCGAUCCAGACACUCAAAAGAGAACAAGAGGAACUGUCAGGCUGCAUAAAUGAUCUCAGAGAGCAGCAGAGAGAAGUGGCUCUGUCAGUCCAAACGCAGACAGAAGAGAAACAACAGUUAACUCGGACAGUUUGGGGACUAAAGGAGGAGAAAGACAGUAUCUCUCAAUCUCUGGCUGGUCUUAAACAAGAACGAGAGGAGCUAAACAGAAUAGUGUGUGUGCUGAAAGAUGAGAGAGAUCACUUUAUUAGGUCCAUGAGUGGCCUGAAAGAGGAGAAAGAGCAGCUAACUAAAGCUUUAUCUGGUCUCCAAAGAGAAAAAGAGGCGAUGAUAGAAUCUCUCUCAAGUGGAAAAGAAGAGAGAGAUCAAAUCAUGCAGUCAGUACAAGGUUUACAGACAGAGAAUGACCAGUUAAAGCAGGCAGUGCUCAAUUUAAAACAGGAAAGAGACCAUCUGACCGAUUCCCUUAAAUGUCUGAAAGAUCAGAGAGACCAGGAACAUUCGUGUUAUACUUUACAAGAACAGUGCGACAAGUUGAUGAAGUCCGUUAGUAGCUUGGGAGAAGAAAAAGAAAGUAUUGAAUAUUCUGUCCAUUGCUUAAGACAGGAGGAAAAGCAGAUGAUGCUCAUAAUUCAGGGCCUAAGAGAAGAAAGAAACAGCCUCCAAACUGCUACUGGGACAGGAGAAUAUGGAAACUCUCUACAGGAGCAACGUGAUCUGGUGAGGGAGAUCGAAGAGGAAUUAGAAAAGAGCCAAGUAGAGGUCAAGAAGAUGGACAAUGAAUUGUGUCAGUCAGAAGUCAGGAGGGUGGAGGCAGAGAGGAAGGCAACCCAAGCAGCUGAAAAGGUGAUGAGACUGACAGAUGUAGCCAAUCAGAUGGAAGAAACCAGGAAGGAAAAUGAGCGACUCAAGUCUCAGGUGAAGGAGCUGCAAAGCAAACUGAUAGGUCUGACCAGAGAGAUGUCUGACGCUCUGUCUCUAAAAAUCCAUAUAGAGGAGCAGUACAGUGUCCUCACAGCUCAGCUCAAAGCUAAGACAGUGGCUCUGGAGGAGCUGAACUCUGAGUAUAUCGCUCUAAAACAAGGGCAAGGCAGCAAGGAUGAUCUGAGCACCGCUCUCACGUCACUACGGACACACUACAAUGACAUCCGAGCUAAGUAUGAUGCCCUCCUGAAAAGGAAAAGCCAGACAGAUGUAGAUAUAGCUCCUUUAAAGGCCAAGCUGUCGUGCCUGGUGGUGAAGUGUCAGGAGAGGAAUAGCUUGCUGCUUCAGUUGAUGAAGGCCAUGCACAGACAGGGAUGUGUGGACUCCGUGCUCACACAGCAGGUCGAGCAGCUGCUCCGUGAUGCUGCACUGCAGGACUACUCUGCAGCAUUCACACCAGGAAGCAACGUGAACACCCAGGAUUGCAGCACUGGGUUUAUACCGGGAUUUGUUUCAAAAUUUCAAGACUUUACCAGUGGAUUCACACCUGAUCAGACCUGCUCUGCUGUAUUACCUUCUGUAAACAAACACCACCAAACUGGCUUUAACAGUGAAUCUGAUAUAAAAUACAGAGAAAGUGGAAAACACACUUCAAUAGUCACCAGUGAAUCCACAACCAAUUUUCAAGUCUGCAGCCAUGAGAUCACACCUACACCAAUAAGAGCACCAAAGAAAAAUGCCAACUCAUCUGUGCCAAACUCACCAGUGAAAGAACAACCCAGUGUCCAGGUGUCACCGUCACCUGUUAUUCCACUGAAAGAAGGCUUGAGCAGAAACACAACACAGCAGCUGUCUCCCUCUGCCAGUGGACCAGUCCAAGCAACCAGUGGUCAGAAAACAUUUGGAUUUCAUGAUCCAAACAUGAAAGAGAAGUCCUCCCCAGAUCUGACCGGUUUGACCGAAUCCUCACUGACUUCUAGUCCUCCGCCCUCCAGCACACACAUCAGUCCGAGCAGGAGGCUGAGUAGUCCUGAGAAGAUCAUCAACCUACAUGAGCAACUGCAGAAAACUCUGAUGAGCAGCUAUCAGGUUCCAGUGAGCAGAGGAAGGGAUCGUCAGUCCAGGAAGAGCCUCUCAUUUUCAGCUCCUGCAGACUUGAGCCUGGCUUCUCAGACACAGAAGCAGAACCUCAGUUUCAGUAACCCACAUAACUCUCUCCCUGUCAGCACUGCUUCAAGCCAGUCUAUACACACUUCUGUAGUAACAGCUAAACCUGUUGCCACUAAUAAGUCAGCAACACUUUUUAAUGCAGUUGCCUCUAGAUCUGCUCAUAUUGAGUUCAGCCCUAACAUGUUUACUAGCCAUCACAUUAAAGCUAACAUGUCUAAACCUACAACAUCUGCAUGCUCUAGCUCUUCUAACUUUCCAUUUGCCACUGUGACACCUAGCAAAGCCAAAUCCAUUUUAAGCAGUGACACUAAUAUAUCAGUAUCCCCAAAGCCAACAAAGAAAAUCACUGCUAUCCCCGAUGCAUCUUAUGCUUCACAUACAUCUUCUAUUCCUUUAACUCUGAGGCCCCCUGGCUUUGACUCCAAUGUCUUAAUGUUUUCUGACACUAAUUCAAAAUCCACUGCCUCGGAUACAGCUGCCUUUAGCAUAUCAGCUGUCCCCAAGGUUAAUAUUUUUAACAUGACUUCUACAACGGAUGAUGCCCCUGCAUAUCAUGGCUUUGUAUCAGCUGCAUCCUGCACUCAGUCCGCUCAUCGCUCUCCUGAGAGACCCAACAAGUCUGCCAGAGAGUCCACUGCUGCUCUAGAAAAGACCAAGAGCGCAAGGCCCAAAGCAGAGGCUCCAGCAGAGGUACGCUCUGUCGAGGUAAUCAAAACAGUGGGUCAGAGCAGCCUCAUGAUUGGCUGGGAGAGGCCACCACUUGACGAGCUGGGCUGCAGUAACGGCACAUUUGUGUAUGGAUACAGGGUGCUUAUAGAUGGGGAGUUCCACAAAUCUGUCAUGAGCUCAGCUUGCACCAAGUGUAUUCUGGAGAAUGUUGACCUGAAUGUCCCAGUCCAUAUCAGUGUUCAGACUCUGGGUUCUAAUGGACUGAGUUCAAACAGUGUCCACACCGAGUACAGGACCUCAGUUAGAACGGACCAACACUGACUCACGGUGUCCUGAUGAAAAGUACAUCCCACGCCAGCACUUAGUUCAGUGAUUGCAGCCCUCGUGUGGACCAUCCUAACCUCCACCUCAGCUGAGACAUCAUACACUUCUGGGAUACUCUCGCCAUGUGAAGCUCAGGUCAACCAAUCAGAAAAACUCAUCCAACAGGGUCAUUACCUAUGAACUUGUAGUGGCCGACCACUAAAUCUCAAAACUAUUAACUGUAGAUGUCAAACAAAAUACUGUGUAAGGUUCCUGCCUCUGUGCUGAGAGCUUUUCUGCUUGUAAAAGCAAGAGAAGAUUAGCUCCGUCCUUGCUGGAGGAACUUCCUGUUUCAGUCCCAUCCUCUAGCUUCAUCUCACGAAUGGAUAGGACUUUGUGACUGCGAUGUGAGAUGCCAGAGUGUCUGCCUAUCAAACAAGCCCUGAAAAACUGCUAAACGCGUACAUCCAUAAAGCCAAGCUUACUCAUCUGCCUGUGUCACCAACAUUUACUAACAUCGCUCAAGCAAGGCUGAAAAUGUUGGAGGGACGUUUGCAUCUGCUGCACAUUUUCUACACUGUGUUAAACUCUGAGCGAUCAUGUGUCAUAUUGCUUCACUGAAGAGAUACACUGCUGCCUCUCUGGACUCUGACGUCAACAACUGGCUAAAGGGGAUGUUUAAUACAUGAGAAGUCUUUUUUUUAAACAACAUACAGUACACUGCAUAAUGUGCUGAUGCAACAUUGUGCUCAAAGGACAUCUUACUUGAUUUUUACACAUGAAGCCAAAUAUGAGAAAAGAUUCACUCCAAAGACUCAUGAGUUUCCUUCUCCUCACUGGUCUAUGGGAUUACUUUAAUCACUGAAAUUUGCACACAAAAAAGGGAAAACUGCUGAUAUUUUUGUUAAAGAAUAUUAUAAAAAUAUGCCAAUUGUGUAUACAAAAUGAUACCAUGUCUUUUUUCAUACCUAAUCGAUGUCACGUUUGCACGCUCAUUUUGUUUUGUUUUGUACAAAGCUCACAACGCAUUACUUGUAUGUAUGGGUGUGGAAUGACCAUGGUGCAGCAAAGGUAUUUUUCUAUGAGUAACUGAUGACAUAGAUUUCUCAUUGAUUCCUUACAACUGUACAGAGAAUAAAUGUUUAUAUGAUAUUAAUUGUGAGUACUUCUCUGUAUGUGUGUAUCUGUGUAACUCUACGUCUGACAGUUGCUUUCACCAGAGAUUUAGUGAAUAAUGCUGAGGUGCAUACAAACACUUUCUCAAGUAACCCAAAGUCUGCUCUCAUUCAGUACAAACCAGGCACAACACCAAAAAGUGAAGAGGAAGACGCAUCAGCAGCAAAAAGAAGCUUCAUAAUCACCUGCUGUGCUCUGCAGCUUUGGGAGCUCCUCAGAGAAUCUCGUUGCUCAGGAUCAGCAGAAAGUGCACCAGGUGGAGGAGGGAGAGUUUGUGUGCCAGGAUUCAAGUGUAUUCACACCUAAACUGUGUGGAGAGAAAACCGUCUUCACUUUAUUCUUGCUUUCUUUUUUCUUUCAGCAUUUUCUUCUGCUUCUCUUCCUUUUGUCUGUUGCACAUAUUUAACAGCUUUACAGAUCAACAUUUUACAUCCCAAACAAUAUGAUGAACCUAUGUGUGUUGCACUACUCCUCCUCAACAGAGAGGCCA